UGAUAGAGUGCCACACCCAUGUGGGAAC
rnacentral:piRNA from 1 species